CUGAGAAAUUGCCACAGAUACUGAAGGCACACAGUAGAUCAUUAGCUAAGGCAAGAACUGAGAUGAGUUUCUUUGAUUUGUGAAUGUGUCCUCACCACCUGAUUAGGUAAUUUUUAUUGCAGAAGCAAAUAUUCAAUCUUUAUUAUGUGCACUGCAGUACAAUCUAGCAAGCUACAAGCAUGGGUAUGAAACCCACGGUUUUAGUCUGCAAACUCAAACCAAAAAUACAGGAUAGUGAGGAAAAAGAUGGAUGAAAGAGCAGUGCAUCUCAGAGCAUUUUUAUCGAGGGUCUAUUUCUCUGUGUUUCUGCAUGUCCUGGCCACUACCACAGCCAUAACAUGAAUCUGACAGCUUUGACAUCUUCUUUUCUCUCUUUGGAAAACUGGUGAUGAAACAAGAUUUCUGAAGUAAGUGGCUGUCAGUCAGUACCCAAUAUGCACACAGCUGUUGGUUUCGCACUCUUCUAAGCAAAAAUCAGCAAUAAGUGGAAAGGUAAGCAAUACUCAAUUAUAGCAUGAAGUCUAAAAUCUCUUUGUGAUGUGACAUUUAAAGAGAACAGUCUCAAAUAUUACUUAAAAGAGCCAAGAAAUGUUUGUUAGCUAGCAGCUUUCUAUUGGCUGCAUUCAACACAGUCUGUGAGAUGCUUAUAAUGAAUAGAUUAUAUACAGUUCUGAUAAUUUUUGCAAGUUUUUCUUGUGUCUGUGAUAGAUAACAGAGUAUUAUCACCACGAACAACCUUAUCUGUCAGGAGCAGCACCUUUCAUUGUGAGUACUAAAUUUGAGUUAUUUGUAGUGAUAAGCACUGCAGUGACCUUUGGUAGUGCACAUCAUUACACCUUAGGAAUGAUCACAGUUCAGAAGAGGAGAGCAAGAUGAAGCAGCACUGCAAACAGUGCAGCUCCAAGGGAGGGAAAGGAAAAGGGCGCUGCAGGAGCCCAGGAGGACUGAAGUCUUGUGGGAAGAAGGGCAGUGUGUGACCCAACCCCAAGGCUGAGAGACAGCACUACAAACAGACAGCAGAAGGGGUCAUUCAUAGCCUACCUUUUUUUUUUUUUUUUUUUUUUUUUUUUUUCCCUGACUUCAGAUAUAUACACAUGAAGAAAUCUGGAAAGCCACCGGAUGUGUCAAGAUGAGCCUCAAGUGAAGAUUCACCUUGAGUCUCAUUAUGACAUGAGACUGCUGCCAAGUGGACAGCCGAUCUCAGAGCAGAUCUGACUACAGAAGACAAGCACCUACAGAGAGGAUUCCUUCACCAUCAACAGGAGGACCCUGUCCAAGUCAUCUCCCAACCUAAAAGAUGGCAGGAAAGUAUCUGCCUUUUAAAUCUGAAGAAAAGACUGAAAACAUUAACUCGGCUUGGCUCAUGCCUGAAGGGGCCACAGAUGGCCCGCUGCCAUCGCGAGGCUGUCAGGGACUCGCUCAGCUUUCCCCUCGUUUACUUGUGGCUGCAGCUCCUGGGGGGCCGCUUCCCAGACAGGAAAACCCAUCUGCUCUCUGCCCUCCCGCACACCUCCCAGAGCCCCAUCCUCCAGCGGCGUGGGGAGGACGCAAACCCCCGUACACCCCUCAUCCCGGCGGAUCCUCUGACGGCUGAGAGCAGGCCAGCGGCAGCCAAGGGAGCAACGCCGGAAGACCCGCG
ensembl:lncRNA